AUGGCGCCUCAAGGGGGAUCGAGGAGCCCUGAGGGGGUCGUGGUGCCUCGAGGGGGAUCGAGGAGCCCUGAGGGGGAUCGAGGAGCCCUGAGGGGGUCACGAUGCCCCGAGAGGAUCGAGGCCUCCUGAGGGGGAUCGAGGCGCCCUGAGGGGCAUCAAGGCACCCUGAGGGGAGCAUGGCGCCUCAAGGGGGAUCGAGGCGGCCUGAGGGGGAUCGAGGCACCCUAAGGGGAUCGAGGCGCCUCGAGGGGGAUCGUGGCACCUUGAGGGAGACCGAGGUGUCCUGAGGGGGAUCACGACGCCCUGACGGGAUCGCGGCGCCCUGAGGGGGGGUCACAUCUUGUUACCUCCCCGUUUUUCCAGGCUGGGAGCAAGAGGGAAAGGAAAAGUCUGGUUCUGAGGGGAAGAGGACCAGGGGGCUUUGCUGGCGGGCAGCUGCCCUGCAGGCCGGCCCGGCACUGUGUGAGGGUCUCCGUGACUCGGGUGUCCCAAACGUGGGGAACAAAGUUAGACGUGCUGGUGGUGCUCGCCUGUGUCACGCUACCAAGCAGGAGCCACCGCGGUCRGAGCGGUGGAGAACAGCCUGAAGAUCCCUCCACCUUCUCCGCUGCACGCUUACCCCGUUGCCCGCCGCGCUUUCCAGGUUAACUAGGCUUUGCGGCCAGCGCCUCAUCGCUUUGAGUCACCCGUGGAGUUUUGGGGAGACGAGCUGAGCUGGGCCAACGGGGCGACAGGCCAAGCCGUGGUCCGCGUGUGCAGCAAGAGUGGCUGCGGUGUUUUGCAGCUAGCUCCAGGGACACUUCUUACCUGCGGCCUGCAGAAAUCUGCACCCAGGCAAAGAGUUACAGCCCGCCUUUAUCAAGAUCCCCUGGUUGCACACAAUUCYGCCCUUUUUAAGAAAAGAAGCAAACAGAGGAGCGAUGAGGCGCAGCUCGGCGCCAAGGGGACCGUCCCUCCCCGCGGCGGCGGGCUGCGAUGUGUUUGCGCAGCGGCAGAGGGUGCCAGCCGGCCGGGAGAGGCGUCUUCCUCGCUGGUGGUGUGACGGGACAGGAACUGCGUGCAGGAGCCCCGCGCUGCACGGCGGGGACGCGCAAGAGAUGAGCAGCCCCUGGUUACAUACUUAAAGAAAACAUCACGCCUGGCAGGUUUCACCGCGUGAUCACUCGUAUGGAAAUGCGCUUUACCUUUCCUGACCAGAUCGGGCUGGAGCCCUGCAGCGCGGCGAGACGCCCCCGCGUCCCGGCACCGCGGAGAGCCUCGCCGAAGCGCCCGGAUCGGAGCCUGGCAUCCGAGGUCCCCAGCGGCCCUGGCCGGCUCCACGCAGCACAGAACUAGGGAUAGGUUGCGUGUGCGCCUUGUGUGUUUCUUUCUUUUGUGUCUUUCUUGUGUAUUUCUUUCUUCUCCAUCACUCAGAUUUGGCUGAACCUCUUUUUUUAAUAAAAAUUAAAAUUAUUUUAAUAAAAAAUAAAAA
rnacentral:lncRNA from 1 species